AGGUCAAGCUAAUAAGAGCACAAGGGGAAUGCCUUGGCAUCAGGAGCCGAAGAAGGACGCGACAAG
rnacentral:rRNA from 1 species